CCGUCCGUUCCGUGGGACGGAGUGACGGCCCCGGGCGCUGCCCGGCUACGCUGGCCUGGUGCGCCUUCCGCCGAAGACGCAAAGCCGACAGCCGUCGCAUCCCAGGGAGUACAUCCAUG
rfam:Streptomyces sp. Ncost-T10-10d genome assembly, contig: Ga0115254_1055